AACGAACGCUGGCGGCAGGCUUAACACAUGCAAGUCGAACGCACCGCAAGGUGAGUGGCAGACGGGUGAGUAACACGUGGGGAUCUGCCCAAUGGUACGGAAUAGCUCCGGGAAACUGGAAUUAAUACCGUAUGAGCCCGCAAGGGGAAAGAUUUAUCGCCAUUGGAUGAACCCGCGUCGGAUUAGCUAGUUGGUGUGGUAAAGGCGCACCAAGGCGACGAUCCGUAGCUGGUCUGGGAGGAUGAUCAGCCACACUGGGACUGAGACACGGCCCAGACUCCUACGGGAGGCAGCAGUGGGGAAUAUUGGACAAUGGGCGCAAGCCUGAUCCAGCCAUGCCGCGUGAGUGAUGAAGGCCUUAGGGUUGUAAAGCUCUUUCGCCGACGAAGAUAAUGACGGUAGUCGGGAGAAUAAGCCCCGGCUAACUCCGUGCCAGCCGCCGCCGUAAAAC
rnacentral:rRNA from 1 species